rnacentral:rRNA from 1 species
AGUUAGCAUUAUACCGUGAAACUGCGAAUGGCUCAUUAAAUCAGUUAUCGUUUAUUUGAUAGUACCUUACUACUUGGAUAACCGUGGUAAUUCUAGAGCUAAUACAUGCUAAAAACCCCAACUUCGGGAGGGGUGUAUUUAUUAGAUAAAAAACCAAUGCCCUUCGGGGCUCCUUGGUGAUUCAUGAUAACUUCUCAGAUCGCAUGGCUUUACGCCGGCGACGGUUCAUUCAAAUUUCUGCCCUAUCAACUUUCGAUGGUAAGGUAUUGGCUUACCAUGGUUUCAACGGGUAACGGGGAAUUAGGGUUCGAUUCCGGAGAGGGAGCCUGAGAAACGGCUACCACAUCCAAGGAAGGCAGCAGGCGCGCAAAUUACCCAAUUCCGAUACGGAGAGGUAGUGACAAUAAAUACUGAUACAGGGCUCUUUUGGGUCUUGUAAUUGGAAUGAGUACAAUUUAAACCUCUUAACGAGGAACAAUUGGAGGGCAAGUCUGGUGCCAGCAGCCGCGGUAAUUCCAGCUCCAAUAGCGUAUAUUAAAGUUGUUGCAGUUAAAAAGCUCGUAGUUGAACCUUUGGCCUGGCUGGCAGGUCCGCCUCACCGCGUGCACUUGUCCGGCCGGGCCUUUUCUUCUGGAGAACCGCAUGCCCUUCACUGGGUGUGUUGGGGACCAGGACUUUUACUUUGAAAAAAUUAGAGUGUUCAAAGCAGGCCUUUGCUCGAAUACGUUAGCAUGGAAUAAUAGAAUAGGACGUGCGGUCCUAUUUUGUUGGUUUCUAGGACCGCCGUAAUGAUUAAUAGGGACAGUCGGGGGCAUCAGUAUUCAAUUGUCAGAGGUGAAAUUCUUGGAUUUAUUGAAGACUAACUACUGC